GCCAUACCCUUUGCCUGUAUUCCCACUCCUCAAAACCUCCCAACACCCCUCUUCUUCUGCCCCUCUAUUUCCCAAUCUCUCCUCCUCUACCCUGAUUUUCCCCUCUACUCCCUCUCAAUUACCCGCCCUUUUCCUUUCAAAUCUUUUCCCUUUACAUUCUUCCACCGCCACUUCUUCUCAAUUUCUGCCAAUUCCCAAACCCUAAGUCUUGAUUCACCCUUCUCUGCGUUUCUCUCAAAACCCCACUUGUGCUCGCCCUUUUCUUUGCUAUUUGGAUUGCUAUAGACGAGGGAAGUUGCAUGUGAGCUCGAUUUCUUUGCUGGGCCUUUGGAAACCUAGUUUUUUUGGCUUGAUCUGGACGGCGUCGUUUUGAGCCUGGAGUCUUCUUGGCCUUUCGGGUUUUGGAGUUUCAGGCUAGUGGUUGCAGUUUCACGAAGAAGGCUGUACUUUCUGGCUCUGAAAUGAUUAUUUGCAUUGGGGUUUUCGAAUUCGAGAAGCAAAGGAACAGCAAGAACAGCUGAGGGUGGAUUUCCCUUGUUUGGGGUUUUCUGAAACAGACGAGAUUUAGAGAGGCAGUGGUACAGAUUAUAAGCUGUCAGUUUGGUGCUGGGAGCUGAGGAAUUGUUGUUGGUGAUGGCCAACCAUGAUUUGAUACUUGGCCCAAAUCACAACUUAGGGCUUGGCCAGAAUCAGCAGUUGGUGUUGGGCCAUAACCAUAAUCUGGGUCUUGGUCAGAACCAUACUUUAGAAUUGGGACAAACCCAUGAGCAUGAUUUGGGUUUGGGACAUUCUCAUGACCAUGAAUUGGGUUUAAGCCAUGCACAUGACCAUGAUCUUGGUUUGGGACAAACUGUUCAUCAAGGGGCUGAUGAACAUGGUUAUGAGCAUGGUAAUGAGUUAGCUAUGGAUCGGAAACCAGAACAUGAUGACCAUGGAUUGUCUCUUGCAGAGCAGAACCAUGAGUUAGCUUUAUCUGAGAACAAUGAAUUGGCUGUUUCAGAAAACCAAGAACUUGAUGAUAACUUAGACCUAGCUGUGGACGAUCACCAGGAAAUGGGGAUUGAAUCUACCUCUGAUAUGGUUCAGCAACACCAGCUUGUAGUUUCCACUCCUGUUCUUCAAGCCCGUACUGUUGUUGCAAACCCAAGUUAUGAGCUGGUGGUUGGACAAGAGUUUCCAGAUGUCAAGAGCUGCCGAAGGGCAUUAAGGGACACUGCCAUUGCCCUUCAUUUUGAAAUGCAGACCAUAAAAUCUGACAAGACUCGUUUUACUGCAAAAUGUGCUAGUGAUGGAUGCCCCUGGCGCAUACAUGCUGCAAAGCUUCCAGGUGUUCCAACUUUCACUAUCAGGACAAUCCAUGAGGCCCAUACAUGUGGAGGAAUUGCUCAUCUUGGUCAUCAGCAAGCCUCAGUUCAGUGGGUUGCAAACUCUGUAGAGCAACGACUUAGGGAAAACCCUAAUUACAAGCCAAAGGAGAUACUGGAAGAGAUACACCGGGUUCAUGGUAUUACCUUAUCAUACAAGCAAGCUUGGCGAGGUAAGGAGCGUAUCAUGGCUGCUAUGCGUGGAUCCUUUGAAGAAGGGUACCGUCUGCUUCCACAAUAUUGUGACCAAGUUAAACGGACGAACCCUGGAAGUAUUGCAUCUGUCUAUGGGAACCCAACAGACAACUGCUUCCAGCGUCUCUUUAUUUCAUUUCAGGCAUCCAUCUAUGGUUUCCUGAAUGCAUGUCGGCCGCUCCUUGGGCUUGAUAGGACAUUCUUGAAAAGUAAGUAUCUUGGUACUUUACUUUUUGCUACUGGUUUUGAUGGUGAUGGUGCUCUGUUUCCUUUGGCAUUUGGUGUUGUUGAUGAGGAAAAUGAUGAGAACUGGAUGUGGUUUCUCUCUGAACUUCAUAACCUGCUUGAGGUUAAUACUGAAAACAUGCCAAGGCUCACAAUUUUAUCAGAUAGGCAGAAAGGCAUUGUAGAUGGAGUGGAAGCAAACUUCCCAACUGCUUUUCAUGGGUUUUGCAUGCGUCACUUGAGUGAUAGCUUCCGAAAGGAGUUUAAUAAUACAAUGCUUGUCAACCUUCUAUGGGAAGCUGCUCAUGCUCUCACUGUAAUUGAAUUUGAGGCAAAAAUCCUAGAAAUUGAAGAGAUAUCACAAGAUGCCGCAUACUGGAUUCGACGAAUUCCACCUCGUUUGUGGGCUACAGCUUAUUUUGAGGGAACACGGUUUGGACAUCUGACAGCUAAUAUAGUUGAAUCUUUAAAUACUUGGAUUCUAGAAGCUUCUGGACUACCAAUUAUUCAGAUGAUGGAAUGCAUUAGGAGACAGCUAAUGACUUGGUUCAAUGAACGCCGAGAGACGAGUAUGCAGUGGACCUCAAUACUUGUGCCUUCUGCUGAGAGACGUGUUGCAGAGGCUCUCGAGCGUGCACGCACUUAUCAGGUGCUACGUGCUAAUGAAGCUGAAUUUGAAGUUAUCUCUCAUGAAGGAACAAAUAUUGUGGAUAUUCGCAAUCGUUGCUGUCUUUGUCGGGGCUGGCAGCUGUAUGGUUUGCCCUGUGCACAUGCUGUGGCUGCACUUCUCUCUUGCAGGCAGAAUGUUCAUCGAUUUACUGAGAGCUGUUUCACUGUUGCAACUUAUCGUAAAACAUACUCACAAACUAUACAUCCAAUUCCAGAUAAAACUCUAUGGAAGGAGUUAUCUGAGGGAGAUCCGAAUGGAAGCAAAUCUGUGGAGAUUAUGAUCAACCCACCCAAAUCACUUAGGCCACCUGGACGACCGAGAAAGAAGCGAGUGCGAGCAGAAGACCGUGGCCGUGUGAAACGAGUUGUGCAUUGUAGCCGUUGUAAUCAGACAGGCCAUUUUAGAACAACAUGUGCAGCACCCAUUUAAGACUUCCCUGUCAACAAUUGGUUUACUACCAUCAUAUUUGGAUUACAGUCAGCUAAUAGAUUUUUGGGUAGUCAUUGUCUGGGAACGGCUCUGGGAUUUCCUCAACUGUUUUGAUUCAACAAAAAAUCGGAAUUCAGGAACUUCACUUGGAGUACCAGUUUCUGGAAUCAAAUAUAACCUGAGGACUUGAGUCCAGGAGCUUCUAACGCAUACCCGCCAAAGUUGUUUGUGGAACUGGAAACCAAAGGUGAAAUUCCUUGGAAAAAGCUUGGGUUCAGUAGAAGGGAGUCAUAUUGGACUAUCAGUUAGACAUCCUCCAAAACUGGCCUGCAAAAAUGAAAAAUAAUUGUCCAAGCAGUGGAGGUCCUUUGCCCCCAUAAUCGUUGCAGAAAGGUGAAGUUGUGUGAAGGCAGGCUUCCUUGAGUAAGAGUUUGGUGAUUUAGAUCAUUAAAGCAGAGUAAGAGUGCAAAAUAAAAGGCAUUUUGAGAGGUUAUCA